GGAGGGUGCGAGCGUUGUCCGGAAUCAUUGGGGCGUAAAGGGCGCGUAGGUGGCCCGGUCAGUUCGUGGUGAAAGCGCGGGGCUCAACUCCGCGUCGGCCAUGAAUACUGCGGGCUGGAGCACUGUAGAGGCAGGCGGAAUUCCGGGUGUAGCGGUGGAAUGCGUAGAGAUCCGGAAGAACACCGGUGGCGAAGGCGGCCUGCUGGGCAGUUGCUGACACUGAGGCGCGACAGCGUGGGGAGCAAACAGGAUUAGAUACCCUGGUAGUCCACGCCGUAAACGAUGGGCACUAGGCGCUUGGGGGAGCGACCCCCCGAGGGCCGGCGCUAACGCAUUAAGUGCCCCGCCUGGGGAGUACGGCCGCAAGGCUG
rnacentral:rRNA from 1 species